rnacentral:lncRNA from 1 species
GCUGUGCAGUCCUGGUGCUGGAAAUGCAAGUGUGGAAUGCUCCAUGGACCACUGUGACUCAGCCUGUGGCAAGCAGAGGCCAGAAAUGCUGCUGUUAGUGGAAUAUCCAGAAGAAGGGGAAAGUUUGUGAAGGAAAAAAAAGAAUAUUGCAACUCACUGCUAGAGGCGUUAAUACGACGCUAACGAACCGUAGCCUUUCCAGAGCAUAGCUGGCAACAUUAGCACCCAUCUGUGCUGAGUGGGAUGUGCAAGCAGAAGCCAGGGCCGAGCAGCCUCCACCUGUUUGCAGAAAGCCCUGCAGUGACCUUACUGUUGGCUGAUUCCAGGGAGCCACCUCAUUAUUCUGACUUGAAACUUCUCCAUCUCCAAAAUCAGAGUUACUCCUGUGUGUCUUCACUGGAAGAAUGCACAUCACAGUCCUGCUCUGACAACGUAGGCCCAGGGAAAUGA